rnacentral:rRNA from 1 species
UACGGAGGAUGCAAGCGUUAUCCGGAUUUAUUAGGUUUAAAGGGUGCGUAGGUUGUUAAAUAAGUCAGUGGUGAAAUAUUUUAGCUUAACUAGAAUACUGCCAUUGAUACUGUUAAACUAGAGUUUGCACGAGGUAUGCGGAAUGCGUAAUGUAGCGGUGAAAUGCAUAGAUAUUACUCAGAACUCCGAUUGCGAAGGCAGCAUACUAGAGCAAAACUGACACUGAUGCACGAAAGCGUGGGUAGCGAACAGG